AACUAAUUUAUCUAAUUUGCUUAUUGCAGCAAAAGGAAAGAAUCAAACGAGCAGAAAAGAAUAGACGUCUUGGUGUUAAAAGGUUAAAAAUCCAACCAGUAUUGAAACCAAAAACAGUGACAUAUUGCCGUCAUUAUAUGAAGGGAAGAUGCCAAGAGGGUGACAAGUGCAAAUUUUCACAUGAUACAAUACCCUUGA